GCAGGCUGCAACUCGCCUGCAUGAAGCUGGAAUUGCUAGUAAUCGCGGAUCAGCAAGCCGCGGUGAAUACGUUCCCGGGCCUUGUACACACCGCCCGUCACACCAUGAGAGUCGGGAACACCCGAAGUCCGUAGUCUAACCGCAAGGGGGGCGCGGCCGAAGGUGGGUCCGGUAAUUGGGGUGAAGUCGUAACAAGGUAGC
rnacentral:rRNA from 1 species